GAUAAACGCUGGCGGCGUGCCUUAUGCAUGCAAGUCGAACGGUCCUUCUUCGGAAGGGUAGUGGCGAACGGGUGAGUAACGCGUAAGUGACCUGCCGAGAAGUGGGGAAUAACUGGUCGAAAGAUCAGCUAAUACCGCAUGAGCUCCCUGGUGUAAAGGCUGGGGAGGAAAGCCGAAAGGCGCUUUUCGAGGGGCUUGCGUCCGAUCAGCUAGUUGGUGGGGUAAAGGCUCACCAAGGCGAUGAUCGGUAGCUGGUCUGAGAGGAUGAUCAGCCAGAGUGGGACUGCGACACGGCCCAGACUCCUACGGGAGGCAGCAGCAAGGAAUUUUGGGCAAUGGGGGAAACCCUGACCCAGCAACGCCGCGUGGACGAUGAAGGCUUUCGGGUCGUAAAGUCCUUUUGUGGGGGACGAUAAUGACGGUACCCCACGAACAAGCCCCGGCUAACUACGUGCCAGCAGCCGCCGUAA
rnacentral:rRNA from 1 species